GUUUAGCUCUCGUCUUUUCGAAACGAUCGAGCUUCCACCGAGGUCGAGGUCUGAUCACCACUCAAUGAUAUCAAGACAAAUAUGGUAUAUAGCAAGACAGGUUCGACAAUGCCGCUUUUCAAAGUUGGAAUUUAUUGUACGAAGUGGAAAAAAAAAUUAUUAGAGGUGCUUCAGUAGUAGAAUUAAUUAAUGCGGCCAAAGAAAAGUUUUGCCUUCCCGGAGACAACUAUAAGAUAUGCUUAGAAGAAGAUAAGACUGAGGUGGAUGAUGACGAUGUAUUGUUAGAAUACGCAGAGCAGUGCGAGCGCCAUGCCAGACCUCCAGUUUCUUUGCUUUUGAAGGCACAAAAUUACUGUGAUAAUCAAGAAAACACAGAAAACGAUCGCAAUAUUUUAAACGAUAAUAUUAAAGAAAAUUCUUUCCUGAACUCUGUACUAGCUAUUCGCUGAAAAACCGGGAUACUAUUGAGAACCCCCCCAUGCAUUAAAAACAGCCUACACACAUUUUUUUCUAGAAGAAA